rnacentral:rRNA from 1 species
AUUGAACGCUGGCGGCAUGCCCUACACAUGCAAGUCGAACGGUAACAGGUCUUCGGAUGCUGACGAGUGGCGAACGGGUGAGUAAUACAUCGGAACGUGCCCGAUCGUGGGGGAUAACGGAGCGAAAGCUUUGCUAAUACCGCAUACGAUCUACGGAUGAAAGCAGGGGACCGCCAGGCCUUGCGCGGACGGAGCGGCCGAUGGCAGAUUAGGUAGUUGGUGGGAUAAAAGCUUACCAGGCCGACGAUCUGUAGCUGGUCUGAGAGGACGACCAGCCACACUGGGACUGAGACACGGCCCAGACUCCUACGGGAGGCAGCAGUGGGGAAUUUUGGACAAUGGGCGAAAGCCUGAUCCAGCCAUGCCGCGUGCAGGAUGAAGGCCUUCGGGUUGUAAACUGCUUUUGUACGGAACGAAAAGACUCUUUCUAAUAAAGAGGGUCCAUGACGGUACCGUAAGAAUAAGCACCGGCUAACUACGUGCCAGCCGCCGCCGUAAAAC